AUUAUUUUUAAAGUGAAAAGUCAAAUAGCGCGCGCGCAGCGCGCGCUUGUAAUGUUCUAGUAUAUAUAAAAACAGGAUUGGAUCAUAGGAUUAUUGUUUCUGUGUUAGAUUUUACAGUAACUUCAUUGUAUUCGAAAUCGUCGAAAGCGUUCUCUUUUGUAAAUGCAUUUUCAAUGUAUCUAUCUAUCUAUCUAUAUAUACAAUACAUUCUAUUACAAUCACCGAUAAAACGAUAAAUGUGAUAACUUGGAACUAUCAUCCAGUCACCGAAACUUUUCUUAUCCCUUUUCGCCUCGUCAAACAUAUCGCGUGACAUAUAUUUGAAUAAUGACAUUGUUAGAAGUUAACUGUAAUAGAAACGUUUGUAUCUCUACUGAAAAAAAUUCCCAAAGGAGUGAUGUUCAUCGCUCAUCAUGCAGAUACAUCGUGAGAAAGAUGCAUUCGCGAGUUUAUUCAUGUAAAUUCAUUCUAUGUAGAACAACCCAGACUUAUCAAACGAUUGUUGUAACUUUCAAAGUUCUCCAUAUAAAAAGAACAGUUAUUAUAUUGUACAUUAAUAUUAUAAAUAGUCCACAUUAACAUGAUAUAAUCGAUUACUUUAAGAAUCUAGCAGAAUUCGGUAUAUUUUUUAUGCAGGCAGGCAGCUGCUACGUGUAGAAAGUGAAGCUGUUUUGAAAUGCAUCGCGUUUUAUCGUUUGCAUCGUAAAUAUAUACGCGUUCGCACGGUCUCUAAAUGCUCGAGUAAGUUUACCGUAAAACAUGACUGCUCCUUCACUCUAAACUGCUUCGACAAACAGUCAAGGUGGACAAAACAUCACUGUUCGGCAAACAACACAAGGAUUUUAGAAAGGCGAGUAGUAUUUUCGACUAUAAAAUGUUCAAACGUACGCGCACAUUUUAUAAAAUCAAACAAACUUAUCCGCAAUAUUUUAACAUUCAGAUCUAUUAUUACGUAAAAAAUAAUGCGUACGAAAUUAAUGACUUAUUUUGGAAACAAAACAUUUUACCAAAUAUAUCAUUUUGUAUGUUGUGUUUUUAUUCAUUCCUUUCUGGAAAGUAUUUAAAGAACCUGUUUUAUGUGACUCACGCGUAAGAUUUAUUUUUCCUCCUUUCGUAUUACCCAAUCAGAUGAUUCGUCUGGAAUGGAACAUAUGGUACAAUAAUUGCGGCAUUGUGUGAUACGCGUGUAUGCAUUAAGUGCGUCAAUCUUUGUCUGCACGCACAAAUUGAACGAUCGCAAACAUGAGAAUCGAUAGCGAGAUCUUUUUGUUUUUGAUCGUAUUAAACCAUUUUUUAAUUAAACUUUUUUAAUUGGUGGAAGGAAAAGACGAGAGUCGAAAAAUUCGUAAGCGGGGAAAAAAUCGCGACAGUUCUAGGAUAUCUCCUCGUCAACGUGCAGCACGUUGUUUAGCACGUCUCCUUUCUUCCUUUCCAUCGUCAGUGCACUCGACGUCGCUCACCUGAAAUGUAUUGGUGGGUUGUGCGACACGCACGGUUGCCCGCAUAUCCGUCGAUACAAACGUCGGCGCAACGACGCGCGCGGAAAGAUCCGUCUAAAGCGGCACGGCGGAGAACAAAAGCUCGUAAAUCUUGACAUCAGACAUGCACGGAGCUCGCAUAUCGCGCCGGUUUACGAUAUCGCGAGAACACAAUGAGGCGGUAUAUGUACUGUGUUACAUCACGUUAUUGGUAAUUAAUGAUUUAUUUGCAUUAAAUGCUGAUCGCAUUAAGGAAAUUUACUAGCGAGCGAUGUCGGAGCAGCAAAUAAUUAGCAAAUAAUUUCAAUGUAGAAAUCGAUGUGUUCUGAUGAUAUGGUUCAGCCAGGUUAAUAUACCUGAGCAGUUUCGGAAUGCGGAAUCCAAUUGUGAUUCAUUCCUUAAUUUAUAGCGGCUGUGUAUCCGUAUCUUCUAAACAUCGUAUCUAUCAGGCAGUUUUAUAAACGCAGAACGCGUUAUAUUUGUAAGGCGUGUUAAUUAAACAUAGAUAAAGACAUAUAUAGAAUCAUAUCUCGCUCGUCAAGUAAAAUUUCAUGACGAGCGACAAUGCGAUUAUGAUAAUAUCGUCAGACAAUGACGAGAGAUAAGAUAUCAAUCGGAAACGUUCAUCGCUCGAAAUGCAUCGCGCCUUGCGCAUUUGUGGUAAUCUCUUCUAAUGGACUCGACUACACUAAUGUUCCCCUCCUCCGAUGCGCCAAAUGCGGGCAGAUGUUGCCAGAGAAAAUUUCUGUCCCGUUCGACUAAUAUCGCCGGAGAUGAGAUUCAAUUUCCUCUGUGGGAAAAAAAAAUGUAAAGAGACUCUUUUUCCUUCUACACAUCCACAUCGUGCCUGUGUAAUUGAUAGCACGCGAAUAAUCAGUCAAACUUAUUUGAUUCUUGAUUCGUCUGCACACAAACGGGUCAAAAAUUAAUUUAACUCGGAAUGCUUGAGAUGAUUGUUCGCGUAAACGGACAAUUUGUCCGCAAGAGUCAUCGCGGGAUGCAGUUGCACGCGAAAAUCUAGGAUUUAAUUUCCGGAAAUGCGCGUUUGAAACAUAUAGCAAAAGUAUUAAAGGCCGACUUCGAAACAUGCCAAAACGACGCGGGGUCUAUCGUGCCCGGACGAUGCGAUGCCUACGUUUUCCGACUGGCAAUUUACGUGUGUCCGAUAUUUCAACGAAAUUGCGACUUGUAUAACGAGAGCGAAUGCCGUUCAACAAGAGGUCGGACGGAAACUGCGUUAACGAUCGACAGCCAAUCUCACACGUAGCGUAAUAUGUGAGCUGUUGAAAACCAAAGCGGUCUGUGCUGCAAAUUCACGCGCGUUUCAAUUGUCGCGGAAAUAUCAACAUAUUCUUUUUUUAUAUAUAUUAUUUAUUAUUGUUUCAUUAACUAUUUUGUUUGAUUCCAAAGUUAAAUGUUUAACGAUUCUGUAAGAAAUUUUUAUCUACAUUUGUUUCUCUCGAGGAAUAUGAAGAGAAACAUCGAUGUGCAUAAUGUAUACUAUAUGUAGCGAAUGAAGAUUUUAAAGUAAAAUUAAUAAAUAUUGAAAUUGCGACGUAAAAAAAUCUCAGUAUUUAAUUUUCGACACGAAUAUGUAUUUAAAAGUUGGCCUUAUAUACGCCACGUUCUAUUUAUUCGUGAAUAAGCAUAAAGAUCAUUAUUGCACGUAUUCGAUAUCGAAAUAUAAAUACGGCAAAAUUAAAGCAUGCAUCGUAUUAUUUAUGUACUUAAAAGUUCAAAAAGGGAAGAUUUUUAGAAAAUGUCUGUGGAAAUCAUUUUACAAAUAUUAUUGAUUUAUUUGUCUAUUGUUUUAUUGCUGCAUGCACCGGCUGCAGGGAAUUAUCGUAAAUUAUGUGAAUUUCGAGUGAUCAUCGUCUGGACAUAUACAAUCGAAGGACACUUUUAUGUGCAAAACGGAAAUAUACGGACGAGCCGUCUGCUAUAAAUUUUUUUGGCAUAUUUAAUUUCAUGCGCGUUGUCGCAAAAUGUUCAAAAAGAACGGAAUGAAACGUCAAGCAAAUAUGACUUAUUCUGUCAAUCAAAUUAUAGCAUUGAAUAUAUAAUCAUAUGUAAAUAAGUGAUAAUUGACAAAUAAGUAAGUAAUAAUUUAAUUUAGAUUUUCAAAUCUUUCAAUUAAAAAAAAAAAAGAAAUUACUUGGGGAAGCAUUUCAAUUUGUAUAUUAAUAUCGCAUAAACGAUGACUUUCAUACCUCUUUUAAACAAAACAUGUACUGUUAACAUGGGAGAAAUUAUAAUUUAUAAUUGAUUAUUAAGCGAGACCUUGUGCUAUGCUACAUACACUUGAUAAACGCUUUCUACAAAAUACACAAGAAUCGUUGCGGUCGAAGGAUUCACUGGCUCCCCUCAACAUACAUAUGUUAGCUUUUAGAUAGAAAUCUUGCCAGCCUGUCCGAUGUACAGAUUCGAUUUCCAGGCCAAGCACAAGUACAAACGAAUCGUAAGUUCUGAUUCUUUUGCGAUACUAAUCGCAUUAUUACGCCACGCGGCGUUAAUACUGUUAUAAUUAAAAAAUUAUAACAGUAAUUUGAUCAAUGAACAGAUGUCAGAACAAGAGAUUCUUCCCGCGUUCAAUUACUCGAUUUGAAAAGUGAGAAUGUUAAUACGUCCGUUAUCGCAUUAUCGCGACCCUCAAACAACAAUGCUCACGGUUAAUGACUCGAGAGAACAUUGUCCUUCGCUGAUUUGUCCCUUCCACCUUUACUACACGUGUCUGGAUGAACCUCUAUUUUUUACGCGCUAGUGAAUCGGUAUCCGACCAUUUCAUACGCUGUGGCAUCUAACGGCCCUAUUCUAACAUUCUAUUGGAAAAAGUUAAGAAUGGAAGGAUCGUUACCUGAAUUUAUUUUGCUGUUAUUAGCCGAGUUAAUUUGUGGCGUGAAUAAAAAUUGUUUAAGCUUCUUUUAAGCUUUCUUUAAAAUUUUUAACGCAUCCCUAGAGUUCAACGAUAUUUUUUACGUCUUAAAUUUAUGAGUCCUGGGAGGCGCUUACGGAAGGAUCAAACCUGUAGACUCGUCGCAAUAUUUAUCAUUGUGGAAGAUCGGGAGGGGGGGGGGGGGACUAACGCGUGCACAAAACGAAGAAAGUAAUGCACGUGUGUGAUGAGAGAAGGAUUAGGCGAAAAGGAUAGCAUGAGGGAUGAGUGUAAAGGAGUAUACAUAAAUCGAUGUAAGGUACAACGGCAGCAACACUAUUCUUGUUUUACUGAAAACACCAUCGAUCUGUUCUAUUUUCGUAGAAGUCACAACACACACACACACACACACACACCGCGCGCGUGCGAUAAACGACGUACAACGUAACGAGCGAUGUAUCAACGUAUCAAAGAAGCAUGCCGCCGUUCAGAAUUUACGGAAAUAAGCAUUUCCGUCAUUUCUGUCUGGCAUUCGCGAUGAUUCUGUUAUUCAGAAUUCUGAGUAGAUGGCGGAAGAGUAGAAGAAAAGGAACAACGAACGAGGACGCGCAGUGAAAACGUGCAGAUUGAAAACCGAGCCACAGAUAUAAUUCGCGCUCGCACCACGUGUCUCUAAUAAAAUCUCGGCCCGAUGAUCGAAACGCGCGAACGACACGCGAACGAUAUCCGGCACUGUCGUUGAUUUGCACGAUGAAAUUUUAUUUCUUUUUUUUCUUAUCGUCAAUUCUUUGUGGAUUGCAUUUCGCGGAUUGAGAAACGCAACACGUGUUUUACAGGUGCUACUUGAAGAUGAGUUUUUCAAUGUGCAAGCGGCAGCACACGUGUCAUCUCCUGGAGUUACACCAUGUGAUGAGAAAGAUAGAAAUAGAUGGAGGGAUGGAGAUAAAAGGCAGAAACGAAUACAGACAUAAACAUGUAAAGCGCUCGCAUAGAAUUUCGAUUGGAAAGUUCAUUGUGCUGCUUAAGCAUUGGCUGAACGGCGCAAAGCGAAAAUGUUUCUUUCAAAUCCCUUUAAAGAUGCUGGGUAUGUAACUCUCAUAUAUACCGGGUAAUUUGGAUAGGAAAGAUGCUUUUCGACGAAACUGGAGACUGACAUAUCGCGUUACAUUUUGCUCUUAUUCCAAAUAUACUCUGUACUCUUCUCAUUCGAAUUCUGCAUCCGGACGAAUGAACAGAUACAUUGAAUUGUAACUUAUCUACUUCUAAGAAAUAAUAUUCUCUCAUUGGCAUCAUCCUUUGUGGUGUUUCGACACGACCGCUAUCAACGCGCCGCGCAGCCUAGCCUAUUCCUCGUAUUCUCGUGCACGCGUUUCCCUCUUAGAUCACGCUCACGCAUGCUGGCGCGUGAGUCAUACAAUGGCAAUAGCACCAAUGGCAUAUGCGCUAAUGAUUGCUAGCCUUUCCAUUUGUGCGAAAUAUACAGUGUAAUCUGUUUUUAAUAAACAUAAUUAUAUUCUUUAUCGCAACAUGUCGAUAUAUUACGCGACAUAUCAAUUAUACGUAUAGGAGACGUACGUAUUAGUUGUACGAGCUACGAGUAUAGUUCUCGUUUCGUAAUAUAACUGAAGUUUCAAAGAUAACUGAAGUUGUACAUUUUUAGCGAUGGAAUAUAUGGUGCGGGUAGUGGUGUGCAGUUUCUCUUACCUUUUUCCUCUAUCUAUCGGAUACUACGCUACGUUAUGCACACACACGUGUAGGCGCGCUACGUAUGUCCAUUGUGGUUCACGCGUUCUCGCAUUCAUUAAAUCCGCAGUACGUAGGUACAAAUGUGUCUCUCCUUCCUCGACAGCUGCGCAGCACUCUACGGAGUGAACAGUUAAGCUAACUCACGCAAUAAAGACAAUAAUAUUCUUUCGCCACAAUAGAGACUCUCUCGCGUCAGCUCGUCGCUCUCGCAAUGGAACCAUUAACACUGCGGAUGCUCGUGCUCCGUUCAGAAAAAAAGUCUCUUUUUACGCGACAAUUAUAUAUAAUAUAUAAUUUUGCCUAUUUUUUAAAUGCUACACUAAAUAAAUCACUUCAGGAUUCGCUUCGUUCGAGCGCUCCUCGCGUCAUAUCUUUUUCUGAUACGAAUUAAAGGAGCUGUUGGAAGGCGAAUCCAAUGUUCAGUAAUUGCUCGCCGCGUAAAUCACACGUGUUAUCGCUUCGUAAUAACUUCGAAGAUUGCCGUAGGUAUCGUUUUAACAAUUUAGCAGACACGGAUAUACUUUCCGGGCUGACUGUACGUCUCAUUCCCCUUUCCCUCGCCUGAAUUACCAUAGAGAUUCGUUCAUAAAGAAGAAUCACCUCUCGUCCCUUCCUCCUUGGUUCUGGCCGGAGAAGAACUUCUAUAGAGGAAAAGACUCGAAGAUAAUCUCUUUGAAAGAGAAGCACUGCCGAUUAUUCCGGCGCGGACACGGCGAGCGAGAAAGAAAGCCUGUAUCCAUGUGCACACGCACGUACACGGUUUGCAUGCUACUAUACGCGUUUGUUAGUCAGAUAAUGUUCUUCUCUUCGUCGUCCCUUUGAGGCAUGUUGCGAUCCAGUUCUUGCGACAUCAUGCGUUUUCAUUAUCUAGGAAAGGUUCGCUUUUCCAUACGGCGAAUCAAUUUCGUACAUCGAUCAACACAGCCGUUCAGUUUUCCUUUGUUCUUAUGUUUCGAGUGUACUCGUUAUUAUUAUGUUAUUAUUGGGAAAUUUGGCCCGAGGUUGGGAGUGAUCUAGAAACCACUUUGGCGGCGUUGAUGACAUCGUUAGACGCGUUUGCAAGUAGCACAAGAACGAUAAUGGAUUUCCUGCGGGAAAUGAAUCAAUUUAUUAUCCAUCUUUGUUUUUAUGAAUAUUACUAUGGCGCGAGAAACAACACAUAGCGACGAGAGAAACAAAGAUUCUUUCAUGUGUCUGCACACACAUUGAAAACUGCAAUACCUUGAGGAUAAUCGGAUUUCGCCUGCCAUCUUGAGAUCCUGAAAGGUUUCCAAGUGCUGCGUCUUGGAAUUGAUUUACUCGUUUAGCCUCGGCCGAGAGAUUUCUUCACGCGAACGUCUCGAUCUAUUACGGCAAAUCGCGACUCGAGAAAGGAUUCUCGCGGAGACCGACGCGAAAUUUCGUUUUCGACGAACGGUGACGGUUUGUACAUCGCGUAAUUCCUCAACGCCGUUACUAGUGCUUUGCUCUCGAAUCCGUACAUCCGUGCUCCGGAUCGCCGAGUAUGUGCGUUUAUAAUUGCAUAUAAAGGCGGCCUUAUACGGGGUGUGUAUGUGUUUGCCGAUGGAAAUCCGGUUCUCGAUGUUCAUGGGAACAGGUACUAGUUUUUACGAGGACUCGCGUAUGUGACAUUCUCUUAACUGACCGGGAUCUCAAGUUCCGUCGUGGAGGCGAAGCGAGUCCUGAAGGUGCAGAGUCUUGGAGAUUCGCCCAUAAAAUCGGGCUGAGAGUAUUCUUUAUAGAACAGAUCCGUAAAUCUACUCGCGAUUGUUCUUGUGAAAAAAUAGCAAGCAUGAUACGCCUGUAGCUUUCUUUCGGCUAAGUUAAGUCACCUACGAAAAUCAUGGAGAUCUCUUGCAGGCGUGCCAUAAUUGUUUACUUGAUGUUGGGCUUUUACAUACGAGAGAUUUUGCCCCCGCUGGCUGCGAGUUACCAUACGUAAUGUAAAAACUCGAAACUAAAGCGAAAUAAGGAUGUAAUAAGAUGGAUGUUUCAUUAAUAAAUUUUUCAUGUAAGUACCCACACGUAAAGUAGUGUAAAAUGUUUCUUGUAAUGUGUGAGAAUGUAACGUGUAACGUGUAUGUUAGUAUGACGAUAAUUAAUUUCAUCACAUAAAUUUUUAUUAGGAAUUUUUUAAAUUUUUUUCCUGUGAAGCGAGUCGAGUCAUAAAUCGUUUCGUCCGUCUUUGCCGCGACGUUCUUCUUUUCUCAGUAUACACCGCGGACGAGGGUGAACACCAUUUAUUAUUGCUAUCGUAUUAUCGUCAGACAUGCAGAGGUCACGUGACGUGCAUACGAUCCUUUUGGUAUCGCUUCUGCAACACCUGUUACAUUUCACAUUCGCGUCUCGUCAACCCUCCUUCACGUUGACGUUUCCCGUUCACAAUGGCAGGAAAUUAAUACGUACCCUCUAUACGGGAAUCCUUGAAUAAAGACAAGCGCGAGAGCUCAUUACGCAGCCGAGGAAAUCCCGGGGCAGCCGCAAUGAACAACGGAAACCGCGGGGAACGAUUUUUGUUUAAAUGGAACGCAUGUCCGGAGAUAAGAAUCCCGUGAGAUUUCGGGGAUUAGCCUGUUUUUUUUACGACGCUCUCGACAUGUGAUCCAUUAGACAAUUGUUUGAUAAAAAUUUUAUAUAAAAAAAAAAUUGAAAAAUUAUUUUUCUAUAAAUGCUUUUUUUGAUAAUCUUUUAUUAUCUUUUAUUAUUAUAGAUUUUCGUACAUUUUUUUUACAAAUAAUUCGACAAAAAGUUGAUUGUUCUACAGAUGUGCUCUCGAUUCGACACAUGUAUUCGUGAACUUUAACUUUUCCUCCUCCUACGCUCGUCGGUUCCAAUUAAACCCGAGUUAAUCCAGCGCGUCGAUGGAGCGUGCACUCGACAACUCGUUAAUUUAACGCAUAAUUUAUUGGCGCCCGAUACCGACGCACAAUGCUUGUUUGUAACAUACAGUUUUGCAUUCAAUGAAAAUAGCGCCAUGAAAGUGCGCUCGAAGUCUUCGGGCCUGGAAUUUGAGGAAGAUUUAAUUAUUUUCUCCAUUCCGUACCACAGUCGCGGCGGAAAGUAUAUUGAUAGCGCUUGUUCGGUAUAUUUGUAGUAAAAUCAUUUGUUUUGCGCUUCAGAACUCUUGACGAGAAAUGAUGAUGCUCUGAAAUAUGUGUACGUGUUAAAUUUAAAGAGCUCAGUGGCGUUUCGGUAAUUUAACAUUUAUGAGAUUAGUCCGUUCUUAAUAUUAGCAAUUAAAAUUGGCGCAGUAUGUAUAUGUAAGUUGCGUUAUGGUUUGAAACGGAAAUUCUCAUAUCAGAAAAGAGAAUGUUGUUCGGAGACACGCAGUCUCAAAAAUACGGACAUACAUUCACUUUCCCAUUUUCGCAUACAUAUAAGAUAAUUAUUUGAUCCUACUUCCUUGCACUCUCGUAAUAAUUUUACUGCAGUUAAUGUUCAGUAUAGUACAAAAAGAACAAUGACAACAUAGCGUUAAGAUGCAUGCAGAAUGAUAAAGAGAGCUAUUCGCUACCUUCGCAAUCCCCGCGAAUUCAUUUUUCAUUCUCGUUUAGGCAACUGCACCGAUUGUGUGCCUUCGUUGAUCCUCUGUUUAUCGUGGGAAUUUAAUAUGUGUACGACUGGCUGUCCAUCUCGUAGUUGGCGACUGGUGUCGCGUGACUACGCAUCGGCCUUGCGCCGCGGUGACAAAAGUACCGUAAUCGUGACAAGACGCGGAAAAGACGCACGUGAGAAUUACUGUUAUCCCGCAGUACGAACGUACAAUUGAACAUAUUAGCAGCGCCGAUCUGCCGAUCACUCGUCUUGUUAUCAUCUUCUCGCGAACAAUUAUCCCGCGGCGCCGACAACGAUUUUAACGAGCACAAAGUGCAAUAACCGAUACAAACCUUGCCGUUUGGUUGGUACUCCUGCCCUUGACGAGUGUCCGUCAGCUUGAAAUCACACAAUUUCAGAAUAAAUUUCGUUUCUUUAGGUACUAAUCCUACAUCUAAGUGUUCGGGUUAUCCUCGCUCACUUCUAUCAAUUAGUCCUGUAAGUAAAUAAAAAAUUCAUUACUGCUUUUAAAAACUAAUUUUCGUAAUUUGACAAAAAAAAACAAUCGUUUUGAAGAAAAUGAAAUUUUGAAGAAAAUUUUGAAAAUUUAAACGCGCUUUUUUUGUUUUUGUAAAUUGUAUUUAUCUUCGCAGGAAAAGUUAAGGAAAGUUAAGAUGAACAAGUAAAAUUUGAGACGCGUUUUUUUUCAGUUUAGGGUCUGUUAACCCAUCGUAUUGUGUCGAAUUUUUCUUGAGCCUCGGCCAACCCCUUCCCCCUUAAAAUCAGGAAGAGUCCACUGACGCUCGAGUAGCAAUUAGACAGACCGUGAGUCAAUGUCUGGGGAGGAAACGCUUGUUUCUGGAACACAGAAAUUCUCCAAGAAUUAACUUAGAAUUACCACUUUAUGCUCUAUGUAUAGGUUGUACAGUGAAUUUUAUAAAUUCAGUCAGAUAUUUUUACAUACUAUAUAAUAUCCAUACAUACAUAUUGAUAAUUUUUUAAAGAUGAAUGUAGCGUAUUAUUGAAAAUAGAGAAUAUUAUUGAAAAAUUAUAUAAUUGUAAUUUCAAAUCUGCUUAAUAAAUUACAAAAUACAAUAAUUUAAACAAAGCACUAUUUUUUUAAGUAAGUAUUACUGAUUUGAAAUUAUCGUCGACUUUCGGAUUUAUAGGUUUCAUACGCUUAAUUCUAGAGUUAUGGGAUAAGAUUAAAAAACUGAAAAAAUGAAGAUUAUAUUACGAGAGGAAAGCUUUCUAAGCUAAUAUAAAUUUAUUUGCGCGACAUAAAUAAUCCCCUUUUAUUUAAGCUUACGCUUAUAUCAUCUUCUAUUUCUCUUUUUUUCUUAGAGGGCAAUUUUCUAUUGAACAGUCACAGAUUAAUAGUCCGUAUGUAAUUGUACCGUAUGUAAUUGUUACGUAUGUUACGUUUACUGAGAAAAUGCGUCAUGACGAAAUUCAACGGUACGCAAUUGUUGCUGUUAUCGCAUGUCUUGUUAUGAUUACAACGCAGAAAUAAACUUUCCAAUUGUGCGCGCGCGUGUGUGUGUGUGUGUGUGUGUUGAUGUUGAGGAUUACUCGUUGGUGCAAUUAGGAUACUGAGACGUUAACACGAAUGAUGAAGUAUGCUUGUGAUAGCGGUUUUUGAUUAGCGAUUCGAUGCGGUUGGAGUCGAAUUCAUACGAUUCACUUUUAAACGUCUCGGAUAAAUCAUCGUUUAAAAGAAUGAAUGAGUCUCUUAAUCAAAAUGCAGAAAGGAAUGACCAUUCUUUUCUUAGGAAAAAAAUUAUUUUACAGAAAUAUUAAUUUUUAAAUUACAAGUAAGAUGGAAAGAAAGAGGAAAAGAAAGAGUGUGUGCGUGCGUGCGUGUGUAAUAUGCUGCUAUCUGUUUCAUUCUAUGAUAGAUGUCCACCAACGUCUCCGCCAUUAAUCAUAGAUCUUGAAUAAAAUUCUCGGCCUCUCUCGCCGACGAUUGCGUCUCUGCGACGCGGACACGACUCCGCAAUUGCAGUUUUGCAGAUGCACGCCACGUGGAUACGCUUUUCUUCAAGCUCACAUCCGCUCUUGCGACUUCUCCGAAACGAACACAAAUGGAACAUAAC